GGCGGCGUAGCUCAGUUGGCUAGAGCAUUCGGUUCAUACCCGAAGAGUCAGCGGUUCAAAUCCGUUCGCCGCGACCA
rnacentral:tRNA from 1 species